rnacentral:rRNA from 1 species
ACGAACGCUGGCGGCGUACCUAAUACAUGCAAGUUGAGCGCUGAAGGUUGGUACUUGUACCAACUGGAUGAGCAGCGAACGGGUGAGUAACGCGUGGGGAAUCUGCCUUUGAGCGGGGGACAACAUUUGGAAACGAAUGCUAAUACCGCAUAAAAACUUUAAACACAAGUUUUAAGUUUGAAAGAUGCAAUUGCAUCACUCAAAGAUGAUCCCGCGUUGUAUUAGCUAGUUGGUGAGGUAAAGGCUCACCAAGGCGAUGAUACAUAGCCGACCUGAGAGGGUGAUCGGCCACAUUGGGACUGAGACACGGCCCAAACUCCUACGGGAGGCAGCAGUAGGGAAUCUUCGGCAAUGGACGAAAGUCUGACCGAGCAACGCCGCGUGAGUGAAGAAGGUUUUCGGAUCGUAAAACUCUGUUGGUAGAGAAGAACGUUGGUGAGAGUGGAAAGCUCAUCAAGUGACGGUAACUACCCAGAAAGGGACGGCUAACUACGUG